GACGAACGCUGGCGGCGUGCUUAACACAUGCAAGUCGAACGAAGUGGCGAACGGGUGAGUAACGCGUAAUCAACCUGCCCUUCAGAGGGGGACAACAGUUGGCAACGACUGCUAAUACCGCAUACUGAAGGAGGGGAUUGCGUCUGAUGUGCUAGGUGGGGGGGUAACGGCCCACCAAGGCGAUGAUACGGAGCCGUGCUGAGGGAAGGAACGGCCACAUGGGGACUGAUACAAGGCCCAGACUCCUACGGGAGGCAGCAGUGGGGAAUCUUCCGCAAUGGACGAAAGUCUGACGGAGCAACGCCGCGGGAGUGAUGACGGCCUUCGGGUGGUAAAGCUCUGUUAAUCGGGACGCGGUACCGGAAUAGAAAGCCACGGCUAACUACGUGCCAGCCGCCGCGGUAAUUC
rnacentral:rRNA from 1 species